rnacentral:rRNA from 1 species
CCUACGGGAGGCAGCAGUGGGGAAUAUUGCACAAUGGACGCAACUCUGAUGCAGCGACGCCGCGUGAGUGAAGAAGUAUCUCGGUACGUAAAGCUCUAUCAGCAGGGAAGAACAUGACGGUGCCUGACUAAGAAGCCCCGGAUAACUACGAGCCAGAAGCCGCGGUAAGACGUAGGGGGCACGCGUUAUCCGGAUUUACGGGGGGUAAGGGGAGCGUAGACGGCUGGACAAGUCUGGAGUGAAAUCCCGGGGCUUAACCCCGGAAGUGCAUUGGAAACUGGGCGGCUGGAGUGCAGGAGGGGUGAGCGGAAUUCCUAGUGUAGCGGUGAAAUGCGUAGAUAUUAGGAGGAACACCGGUGGCGAAGGCGACUUACUGGACUGUAACUGACGUUGAGGCUCGAAAGCGUGGGGAGCAAACAGGAUUAGAUACCCUGGUAGUC